AGACAAGUGAGGGUGCUACCCUGUAGCCUCUCGUCUCCCCGGCGCGCCGCACUCCCGCCGCAGCCCGCCGGCGGUACACUAAACUCUUGUUUAAUUGUAUGUUCUGAGCGUCUUAUUUUAAUAAGUCAAAACUUUCAACAACGGAUCUCUUGGUUCUGGCAUCGAUGAAGAACGCAGCGAAAUGCGAUAAGUAAUGUGAAUUGCAGAAUUCAGUGAAUCAUCGAAUCUUUGAACGCACAUUGCGCCCAUUAGUAUUCUAGUGGGCAUGCCUGUUCGAGCGUCAUUUCAACCCUUAAGCCUAGCUUAGUGUUGGGAGUCUACCGCACGGUAGUUCCUGAAAGACAGUGGCAGAGCGAUAGGUGUCCUCUGAGCGUAGUAAUUUUUAUUUCUCGCUUCUGUUAGGCCCUACGGUCCCGCCAUAAAACCCCCCCUUCUCCAAAGGUUGACCUCGGAUCAGGUAGGAAUACCCGCUGAACUUAAGCAUAUCAAUAAGCGGAGGAAAAGAAACCAACAGGGAUUCCCCUAGUAACGGCGAGUGAAGCGGGAACAGCUCAAAUUUGAAAUCUGGCCUUCGGGUCCGAGUUGUAAUUUGCAGAGGAUGCUUUUGGUGCGGUGCUUUCCGAGUUCCCUGGAACGGGACGCCUUAGAGGGUGAGAGCCCCGUACGGUUGGCCACCAAGCCUGUGUAAAGCUCCUUCGACGAGUCGAGUAGUUUGGGAAUGCUGCUCAAAAUGGGAGGUAUAUUUCUUCUAAAGCUAAAUACUGGCCAGAGACCGAUAGCGCACAAGUAGAGUGAUCGAAAGAUGAAAAGCACUUUGAAAAGAGGGUUAAAUAGCACGUGAAAUUGUUGAAAGGGAAGGGUUUAUGACCAGACCUUUUCUAGGGGGAUCAUCCGGUGUUCUCACCGGUGCACUUCCCCUAGUUGAGGCCAGCAUCGGUUUCUGUAGGGGGAUAAAAGCUUCGGGAAUGUGGC
rnacentral:rRNA from 1 species